rnacentral:lncRNA from 1 species
AAAAUUUUUGAAAUACUCUAUAUAUUUCAGUUUAGAGCCUUUCAUUGCAUAGGAAAUUCAAUUAUCUUUCCAACGGUAUAAAGUUUGCCCAAAUCCAACACCCGGGCGAUAAGUUAGAGCCAUUUUAGUGAGAUAGUGUGCCAACUGAGCCAUCAAUGCGUCACGGAGCAUGACCAAAUGGAAAUCGUCAAUUCUAGUGUU